rnacentral:rRNA from 1 species
ACUCAAAGGAAUUGACGGGGGCCCGCACAAGCGGUGGAGCAUGUGGUUUAAUUCGACGCAACGCGAAGAACCUUACCUACUCUUGACAUCCACAGGAUUUUGUAGAGAUACAGAAGUGCCUUCGGGAACUGUGAGACAGGUGCUGCAUGGCUGUCGUCAGCUCGUGUCGUGAGAUGUUGGGUUAAGUCCCGUAACGAGCGCAACCCUUAUUCUUAGUUGCUAACGGGUAAAGCCGAGAACUCUAAGGAGACCGCCGGUGACAAGCCGGAGGAAGGCGGGGACGAGGUCAAGUCAUCAUGGCCCUUACGAGUAGGGCUACACACGUGCUACAAUGGGCGGUACAAAGGGAAGCGAAGCCGCGAGGUGGAGCGAAUCUCAGAAAGCUGCUCUUAGUCCGGAUUGGAGUCUGCAACUCGACUCCAUGAAGCUGGAAUCGCUAGUAAUCGCAGAUCAGAAUGCUGCGGUGAAUACGUUCCCGGGCCUUGUACACACCGCCCGU